rnacentral:rRNA from 1 species
CUAAUACCGCGUAGUAUCGGAAGAUGAAAGUGCGGGACUGUAAAGCCGCAUGCCAUGAGAUGAGCCCAAGUGGGAUUAGGUAGUUGGUGGGGUAAAGGCCUACCAAGCCGACGAUCUCUAGCUGGUCUGAGAGGAUGACCAGCCACACCGGGACUGAGACACGGCCCGGACUCCUACGGGAGGCAGCAGUGGGGAAUAUUGCGCAAUGGGGGCAACCCUGACGCAGCCAUGCCGCGUGAAUGAAGAAGGCCUUCGGGUUGUAAAGUUCUUUCGGUGACGAGGAAGGCGUGAUGUUUAAUAGGCAUCACGAUUGACGUUAAUCACAGAAGAAGCACCGGCUAACUCCGUGCCAGCAGCCGCGGUAAUACGGAGGGUGCGAGCGUUAAUCGGAAUAACUGGGCGUAAAGGGCACGCAGGCGGCUAUUUAAGUGAGGUGUGAAAUCCCCGGGCUUAACCUGGGAAUUGCAUUUCAGACUGGGUAGCUAGAGUACUUUAGGGAGGGGUAGAAUUCCACGUGUAGCGGUGAAAUGCGUAGAGAUGUGGAGGAAUACCGAAGGCGAAGGCAGCCCCUUGGGAAUGUACUGACGCUCAUGUGCGAAAGCGUGGGGAGCAAACAGGAUUAGAUACCCUGGUAGUCCACGCUGUAAACGCUGUCGAUUUGGGGAUUGGGCUUUAAGCUUGGUGCCCGUAGCUAACGUGAUAAAUCGACCGCCUGGGGAGU